rnacentral:rRNA from 1 species
AGUAGUUGAUCCUGGCUCAGGACGACGCUGGCGGCGUGCUUAACACAUGCAAGUCGAACGGGCCUUGUCCGUCUUUUUUUGGGGUGGGGUUAGUGGCGAACGGGUGAGUAACACGUGAGUAACCUGCCCCUCACUUCUGGAUAACCGCUUGAAAGGGUGGCUAAUACGGGGUGUUCUGGCCUGCUCGCAUGGGUGGGUUUGGAAAGAUUCGACCGGUUUUGGUUGUUUUGGUGGGGGAUGGGCUCGCGGCCUAUCAGCUUGUUGGUGGGGUGAUGGCCUGCCAAGGCUUUGACGGGUAGCCGGCCUGAGAGGGUGGGCGGUCACACUGGGACUGAGACACGGCCCAGACUCCUACGGGAGGCAGCAGUGGGGAAUAUUGCACAAUGGGCGCAAGCCUGAUGCAGCGACGCCGUGUGAGGGAUGGAGGCCUUCGGGUUGUGAACCUCUUUCGCCAGUGAAGAAGGUCCUGCUCUUUGUGGUGGGGUUGACGGUAGCUGGGUUAAUGAAGCGCCGGCUAACUACGUG